CUUUGUUUUUUUCAAUGACAUUUUAUGGAUAGAAUGAUAAUCUAUUGCACAUAAUUGAUGGUGUUCAUGCAAUUUAAUCUGUAAUCAAAAACCUCAUAUUGUCUCUUUGGCUUCCAUGUGCUUCAGUUUUCGUAUUUAAUUGUCCAAUUAACCAGACCACAGACCUGGAUUAUGACAACCUUUAUUAAGGAACAAAAGGAAGGAUAGAUGGUGC
rnacentral:lncRNA from 1 species